AUGAGGUCACAAGAGAAAGAAAGAAAAAACAGUAACGCCAAUCGUUAGACAAACAAACAUUGGAAUAGAAAACUAUUCGAGAGAGAGGUAGGCCUUCCAUGUCAUCAGUUACCCCAUCUUCAUCGACAGACCUAAUUUUCUUACACUUGAAGCCUUCCAUGUUAUUAAUAUCAUAUCAUAUGAUUGUGUAUUUGUGUGCUACUGUUAUGUGAUGUUCAUAUGAUUGUAUGUGUGCUAGUGAGUUUGUUGACGAAAGAAGAAGCCUUUCUUACUCUGAGCUAUGGGCAUGACCUACUUAUUCCAACUCUCCUCCACCUACUUCUGUGCCCAUUCCUAGUUCUCUCUCCGGCAAAGGAGGACCGUUUCUUUAACCUUUCCAUCUCCUGACUCUGCUGUUGAUGUUCUUGAAGUUGCUAAGUCUGCUCCUGUUUCUCCAACCUCAUCUUGUGACGACGACAACCCGUUCCACAGUACUGUCUCUGCUACUAUGACACUGCGCCGCAUGCUUAACCUUGAGACUGCUGACGAAUGAAGAUCAGGAGGGUUUAGGGGAACAUGGAUUAGUUUUAGUUUUCUAAACAUAGUAAUAAGGUGUAAGUCACCAAGCUAGUUUAAAGAACGCAGAGGCAGUCUUGACACAGAGCUGGUCAUCAGCUAUUGUGAGUAGAAACAUUCAGGAAACAGAUUGAAACCGCGUAAGAGAGAAGACUUGGUUCUUGGUUAGCAUUUAGCAGCAUAAAGGAUGGCUGGUGAUGCUUGAGUAUUAGCAUUUGUUCUUUGUCCUUUGUAUUAGAGCUGUCUGUUUUUUCUUCCUUUGGCUUCUUCACUUAAGUGGGUUAGAUAGAAGCUAGGUUUAUGUGUCUACGCUCGAACGCCUCUUGGGAUCUUUGUCUUCUUACCUUUUCUCUCGUAUCUCUUCCCUUGUCCAUAUUUUUUCUAUUAAUCUUUUCUCUUCCGUCUAGUUCAUUUUGUUCCAGCCUUAGAGAUGUAAAUCUUACUACUUUGGUUAAGUGAUCUUCCUCUUCAGCUCUUUUCCUGAUUUUUUUUUUUUUGUAAAGGAACAAUAGGAAGUUCUAGUAACACUCUUAGACUAUCUCUGCUGAUGAGUUUCAUCCAUCUUGAUACCUGAAACACACUAAGUUUCCUUGGAGUUUCUUGAUCCUGCUUAAUCUGCUCACCAGGGACCUAUAGAAGCUGCUGCUCUGCUCUGCUUUUGAUGUUUUAUUAUGGUUUCUUUGUCUCCUACUAUCUCUGGUUGUGUUUGUUACGCAUUGAUAACUAUUUUCUGCAGUUCAAAAAAAAAAUAUAUAAAAAAAAUACUAUUUUCUGUGUUUGGAACUGUUGUGUGAAGCUUUUUACAAACGUAUGUUUCUUCUUGUCUUUUUGUAGUUUGUGACAGUAGUAGACGUUUUGAGUUUUAAUGUUGAAGAAAAUGUAUCCCUUGUUCCCUAAA